rnacentral:rRNA from 1 species
CAGGACGAACGCUGGCGGCGUGCCUAACACAUGCAAGUCGAGCGGAGUUAACAAGAGGAAGUUUCGGAUGGAAUUUGUAAUUAGCGGCGGACGGGUGAGUAACGCGUGAGCGACCAACCUUGCACAGGGGGAUAACGGACCGAAAGGUUCACUAAUACCGCAUGAGACCACGGUGUUGCAUGACACAGAGGUCAAAGGAGCAAUCCGGUGCAAGACGGGCUCGCGUCCGAUUAGGUAGUUGGUGGGGUAAUGGCCCACCAAGCCUAUGAUCGGUAGCCGACCUGAGAGGGUGAUCGGCCACAUUGGAACUGAGAUACGGUCCAAACUCCUACGGGAGGCAGCAGUGGGGAAUAUUGGGCAAUGGGGGGAAACCCUGACCCAGCAACGCCGCGUGAAGGAAGAAGGUUUUCGGAUUGUAAACUUCUGUCCUUGGUGAAGAGAAGAAGACGGUAGCCAAGGAGGAAGCCCCGGCUAACUACGUGCCAGCCGCCGC